UUUUUUCUGCUUAAGGGGCUGACACUCUACAACUGAGGGAGCACAGACACACCAAAUCUGCAUGGGGAAGAAUAAUGUCACCAUGGCAGAGGAUCAGAAAAUAAGGAAUCAAAUGCAAAAGCAUGCAUAAUGAAAUAUCUGAUGUCUGAAUGUAUAUGUAUGUAUGAUUGAUGAUUAUGCUAACAAAACAAUCACAAAGGAUACAGAUGUCAUUGAUCUAAAUCA
rnacentral:lncRNA from 1 species